rnacentral:rRNA from 1 species
AAAACAUGUCUUUUUGAUAAAAAUUUAAAGUCAGGUCUGCUCACUGAAUAAUUUUAAAGAGCCGCAGUAUACUGACUGUGCAAAGGUAGCAUAAUCAAUAGUUUUUUAAUUGGAAACUGGAAUGAAAGAUUAGACAAAAAAUUAAUUUUCUUUAUUUUAAUAAAUUUAAUUUUAAAUUUAAGUGAAAAUGCUUAAAUAUAAUUAAAAGACGAGAAGACCCUAUAGAUUUUUAUUAUUGGAAUAAAUUUAUAAAUUUGAUUUAGUAAAAUAAUUUAAUUGGGGCGAUUUUAUAAUAUAAAUAACUUAAUUUUUUAUAACCAUAAAUAAUUGAAUUUUUGAUCUAAAAUUUUUAAAGAAAAGAUUAAAUUACCUUAGGGAUAACAGCGUAAUUUUAUUUAAGAGUUCAUAUCUAUAAUAAAGUUUGCGACCUCGAUGUUGAAUUAAGAUAAUAUAUUGGAGUAGAAAUUAAUAUAAUUAGUCUGUUCGACUAUUAAAUUCUUACGUGAUCUG